UGAUUGGUCCGAGGGUGGGCGUUUGAUCCCAGCUGGACCAAUCAUGGUCCUUCCACAGGUUUUCAAGCUGGAAUGCAGGAAGGGCCCUUGCCUGGUGAUGGGAUGCAAGACGUGGCUCCAGAGAUCUCCUUGGCUGUGUCCCCGCCUGUGGGGUACUCCGUCUGCAAGGAGAGGGCGUGAGCACAGGCUGCACAGAGUCCUGUGGUGUCAGGUUUUCUGCUUCCAGUUUCCGGAUCCAGCGGCAUCCCAGCCCUGCUUGCUGUUUGCUUGUUCAUUCCUUUUUAUGUUGGCCUCGGUGGACACGGCGGGUUUCUGCCUCCGGCCAGAGAAGAAGGAGGGGGGGGAGGAGGAGGGAGAGAGAGUCCGAGGAUGAGGCUGCUGCCGAGGCCGCAGCUGUGUCGUGUGGUGGAUGGCUGAGCUGAGCUGACCACUCCACAGCCAUCCUUGCUCGUCUUUUCUUCUGGCGGAACCUGCGCCCCAGGCUUCAUGCAGAGAACGAACCGGGCCGAUGAGACGAAAGGGAGGGUGCUGGAGGCGGCGGCUGCCAGGGGGAGUUUCCCUUAUUAUUCCAAGGGGACCUGUGACAGGGGCUGUGAGGACAUAGCUCGGUGUCCCCAGGUAUCCGUUUGACCCUUUCUCCACGUAGGAGGAGUUUUUAGUUGGGCACCUGGCUGUGCAGCCAAGGACUGUGCUUCCCAGCCUCCCUUGCAGCUAAGUGUGGCCACGCAGCCAAGUUCUACCCACUGGUGUGAGUGGAAGUGACGUGUACAACUUCUGGGGCCGAGUCUGAAGGCCGAGGGGCGUGUCCUCCCUCCCCCCUUCCUGACGACUAGAAUACUUACUCGUGAUGAGGCAUCUCCAUCCUUGCAGAUCUUGCUGCGCUGUCUGGAACUGUGGCAGCCAUCUUGCGACCAUGAGGGGAAAGUCAAGACCGAAGUUGAGAAGCCAACUGAGAAGUCACUUCCGUGGAGCUGCUGAAUCUGCCAACUCUGCAACCACUCAUUUCAGACAUCCUGUUAGACGAGAUAAAUUUUUUAUUAUUCAAGCUCUUUGCAUUGGUCUUUCUAUCUCAUGCCAACGGAGGUACCUGAUGCGGUAUGUGGUGGAGUUGCCUAAAGUCAUACCCUGGCCAGGGACAGUGGAAGGCUCCCAGUGGGGAGAUUUGAGACCCACACCCACGCCGCCAUCAGGAGGUUCUGCCCCUUCCUUCCAGAAGGUGCAAAUCCAGCCCCAGAACUUUCUAGACAAAACAGUUGUCAAGAGUGUUGAUGAAAUGGCCUGUCUGUUUAUCCAUCAAGAAAAAAAAGGGAGCGAGAGAGAUGAAGACACCACAGCUAAGGCGUGUGAUGGCGGGGGUGGCGUUGUGACCUCUGACCAGGAACGCGUGUGCGUCUCUCCCCGACCCCGGGCGGCCUCACCCUGAGCCCUUCCAUUUCUGUCCAUGACUUGGUUUCUGUCCAUGACAGGAGCUCCUGUGCAUUGUUCAGGCUCUCAGCAGGAAACAGAAGUCAUCUCAGCCAGGAACUGGCGGAGGAUUCAGUGAAGGGACUUCCCGGAGGUGUGGCCGCGGCUAAAGGAACGAACGAUGGAGGCACCGCGCACAGGCGACGGCAGGAGACUGAAGGCACCAGGGAAGAGGGCCUCCAAGGGUUGCAGUGUGGGAGAGGGCCGCCCGCUGUCCAGGGAUGCAGCCGAAACCUGGUGGAAAUGCCCUCCCCUCCCCUCCCACUCGCUGAUCUCCUGCCAGCGUCUCCCGUCACCUGAGGGCCACCUCUCAAGACCCUGCGGGAGCCUGGGGGAUGCAAUCCUCAGAGGUCGACCUCCUGGGGCGGGGAGGGGCAGAGCGUGGAUGAGGGCAGGCGUGGCGUGCGCCUUCAGGUCCGCUUGUCCCAGAACUGCGGAAGCCCCCCUGUUGGUGGGAGGCGCGGGUGGGGAGGAGAGGGGCACAGAGGCCUCAGCCGGGCAGGUCUGGUCGCGGAGGAUCCGGGUGCCGAGGCCCCGUGCCGGUGGCUGGCACUGGGCCGCCUUACGGGAAGAGGAGAGCCCAGGGGUGAGGGAGGGGGAGCCCGCUCCCCUGCAGGCCACCAGAGGGGCUCUCAGGAAGGGCCCCUGGAAAUCCAUGGCGAAUGAGGAAAAACGCAGACAUAUAGAUAACUUGAAAGACCCAGGCUUGCUGGAAGUGGUUUCUGAUCCCGGCUCGGCUGCUGGGCAGCCCGGCUCACAGCCUCUAUUUUUCAUCAGGGGCCAUUCGGUAGCGACACCUGAUUCCUUCGAGUUGCUUUGAAAGGGGGUCCUGCUCUGUCUUCCCUGUGGGGCCGCUUUGCCCCGUCCCCAGGAGCCGUCUUGUCCAGCCCGGCACGGGGGAGGUCUCCGGGGGCCGUGGCUCUGCAGAUGGCGGAGGUGGGGCCACGGGUUUGGACCUCAGAAAAAUGAUGCAUUUUGGGGCAAGUCAUUCUAUCUCUCUGAACCUCAGUUGCCUCGUCUGAGAAAUGGGGUAACAACAGAACCGCUUCGCAGUGGCGUCUGAGGACUCAGCGUGACCGUGCACGUGCCUGGCCCAGCACACGCGGCUCCUGCGGGGGAAUUGCUCCGGGCACACUAAGGGGCAUCUGAGCUGUUCUGUUCUGGGGGGCGCUGCCCGCGUCCACACCCUAGCUCCACCCACCUCUCUAAGCUGCGGCUUCUCAUCUGUAAAAUGUGAGUGUUGACCGUGUCCACCUCCCGCGGUCGACGUGGGCAUCAGGAGAGAGGAUGCACGGGUGGCACAGACCUCCAGCAAACGUUAGAUAGAGGGUAGCUGUUGUGGUUAUUGAUGUUAUUAUUAUUUCAUGAGAAGAUUGGGAUGAAAGAGCAAACAACCCAAAGUCGCUGCUAUAGGGUGGGCUCUGAGCUGGGAGGGGCUGUUGUAGGCUAGGCCGCUGUGACCCUGGUGCUGCGUCCGUCUCCCGUUAUCGGAGUAAGAAAUGACUCAGGAAGGUGGCCCUCCUGGUCACAAGAUGAAUCCUUGGGGUACGAAGGGGCGCUGGUGAGUCAGCGCCGUAAACAAGGCCUGGAGCCUCGGCAUCACACGGGCUGUGGAACUUCGUUCAGCUCUCUGACCCUCGGUCUCGUCUUCUGUAAGGUUCCUCCCAGCACCACUGUUACAGUUGGAUAUAAAGGACUCUGGGCUCAGCUCAUAGUCAAGCGUGAUGGGUUUUCAAAAACUUAUUGGUUGGACAGGAUCAGCGUCCUCAGCUCCCUGGAGGGAAAGGAACAGAAGUGUCCCUCUUCACUGUGGACAGAGGACACACGAUUGACACCACUCAUCACAGGGAAAGGCAACCAGAACCAUAACGAGCUAUCACCACACGCCUGUUAGGGUGGCUGCCAUCAAAAAGACGAGAUAAGAAACAUCGGCGAGGAAGCGCCAAAAAGGGCCCCCUGGUGCCUUGUUGGUGGGAACGCGAAUGGUGCAGCCAUCAUGGAAAACAGUGUGGAGGCUCCUCAAGAAAUUAAAAGUAGAAACACCAUACGACCCAGCGAUUCCGCCUUGGCUAUUUAUCCAGAGGCAACGAAACCAUUAUCUCUAGGAGACGUCCGCACGCCCACGUUCACUGCGACACUAUUCACGAUAGUCUGGUGGACGAUGCUUAGCUCAAUGGAUCAAGAAAUAUCAAGAAAUGGGUCAAGAACAUAUGCUAAUAUGUGCUAAAUACGUAAUGGAAUAUUAUUCCACCUGUAAAAAGAAAGAAACCCUGUCAUGUGUGACAACACGGAUGACCCUGGAGGGCGUUAUGCUACGUGAAAUAAGCCAGACAGAGAAAGACAAGGACCACAUGGUGUCGCUCGUGUGGGGAAUGGAAAAAAACAGAAGUGGAACUCAUAGAAACAGAGUAGAAAAGUGGUGGCCAGCGGCUGGGGGGAGGGGAAAUGGGGAGAGGUGGGUAAAAGGUACCACUUUCAGCAGUAAGAUGAGUAAGGGCCGAGGGUCUAACAUAAAACAUGGCGGCUGCAGAUGAGAACGCUGCAUUAUAUCGUUUAAAUUUGCUAAGGGAGUGAAACUUAAAUGUUCUCACCAAGAAAAAAAAAAGGAGAGUAAAAUUGGGGGUGGAAAAAACAAGACGCAUGAGAGGUCGUGCUCGUGCCAGAGAACGACCCAGCAAUGCGCGGGCGGGAGGACCCAGCCGGCUGUCCCCUCCAGGCCUGUGUUUGCUAGUAGGUUCCACACGCACCAGGCAGCCAGAGUUACCCGAGGCCUCCCCCGCCGGCCAACCAGGCAGCCCUGGGGCGCGCGAGACUGUCUCCCCUCUCUGAGUCCUGGGCGGGUAUACAGUCAGUGCUCAAUAAGGAGAAUCGCACCUCUGGGCAUUGCGUAACCAUUCACAAAACUCCCACAGCUGUCAUCACCUCUCAGUCCCACAGGACUGUGCCGGCUCCGCUGGACGGGGAGACGUGCCCGACGUCACGCAGGGGUGCGAUCUGAUCUACGUGCGCCCAUCACUCCUUGGAUAGUCCUCCAAAACCACAGCUGAGGCGUUUUGGUUCGUUUCUUUUCGUUUUGUAGAAUUCUUCUGGUGUCUUGGGUCGCGCGCUCACAGCUUUCCAUCCGUCACUUCAUUUAAUCCUCCUAAUUGUGCUGUGAGCUAAGUGCUACCGUUGGCCCCAUUUUACAGGAGUAGAAACAGAGAAAUCGGGACAGAGCCAUGAUUUGGGAGCAGGUCCAUUCUUCAGAGUCUUCCAGAACCUUCUGAGCCACACUCUCAACCACCACGCUCUACCGACCAACACCUUCUUUCCCCACGCCAAAGCUGUCUUUGGUGACUACGCAACACCCCGUCCUACAAGAGGUCAAGGUUGCGUGUCCUUCCUCCUUGUCCCCCACACUCGGGACGAGGCGAGGCAGAAGGAGGUGGCGGAGGUGGACGCAGAGAGGGCAGAUGCGGGCCAGGGUCAAUGCAACAGUUAAGGGACAAAUCCGGGAUUGGAAUGAGGUUUGUCAGAUUCCCGAGUCUGCACCCCAACCAGCAUGUAAUAUCGCCUCCAGUCAUAUUUAAUUUAGCAUUUAGUUGUACAGACGUAUCUUAUAGUGGAAUACCUGGGCUCAUUAAUCUCUCCAGUUGUGUUUCUUCCAUCUUACACUAUAAUUAGGCUUCGUCUGUUGUGGUGAAGGAUUCCUGAGACCACGUAUACACUGUGCUUGGUGCCCAUGGUCUUCCGGGGAGCAGGGGGUCUCACAGGACGGGGAGCAAGGCCCAGGUCUCCCUCCCAUUUUCGGUGGUGACGCCAGCACAGUGCCUGACGCAGCAUUGGGACUUACAGAGUGGGAGCAGUGAGCACGAUAAACGAACAGAAGAGCUGAACCCCGUCACAUUUUCUGAUUUCCUUCGCUGAUGGAUCUGCUCCUUCCUUGCCGUCAUGGCCUCGCAGAUCUGGAGCUGUCGGAACACUGAGUGGUCCAAGGGUGCAGCCUGGGACAGGUGUGACCAGCCAAGGGGUGGACUGUGCACAGCGGGUCGGCUCAGCGUGGGGGCUCUGGGCCAAGCUUGCCUCGGGACAAAUCCUGACACUGUCACAUGUCAGUUAUGGGACCUCAGGCAAGUGACUCGGCCUCUCCCUUCAGCAGGGGGUGGCCACGGGCAAGACUUAGGGGACAGGAGUCACCUCUACUUGGCGAAGGCAUCACAGGCUCCACCGAUGGGCAAGGCAGAUGGCACUCUCAGGCGAUUCUUAACGCUGCUGACUCCCCGUGAGGCCGGCUUUGUACUCCUGCCCGGCCAAACGCAUAAAGCCUUGUUAAUAAUGAAUAGGCCCCCGUCUGCCUUGCUUAACACUGAGCUCCAAGCCGAUGCUCGGGAUGCUCGGCCCGUCGUAAACGAUCCGGUCCAGCUGAUUAGGCCCCACGGGGCGCCUUCUGAAGCCCGCCUCUUGUUCCCCAUAAUGGAAUCGUAAUGUUAAUGUGAUUUCAAUUAGGGCUGCGUUACAGAACACAGGUGCUGGAGCGAGCCUGCGCGCCUGGAGGCCUCCCCAGGGACCCAUUUUCCUGGGAAAGAUACGUGCGUUUCCAAGGUCUCCGUCAACCCCAGGAAGCAGCAGGUCACUGGGCUGAAGGGGAGCCAUGAAAGCAGAGACGAGAGGUACCCUGAGCCCAUAGUCUCUGCUCUUCAGGGGCCCCAGACCCGUGUUUCUUAUUCAAACUUAACUGGUGUCGAGCCCCUUGGUUGGGAGAAAACGUGUCUUGGGACCUCUGAGAUCCACAGGCCCUGAUCCGAGAAAUAUUGGCCGAGGAACCAAAGUCUUAGCCUAGGUAGCGUCUUUCCAUUGUAAGUUAUCACGGCAAAAGAGAGGCAUCGUCUUGAUAAAUGGCAACGGCAUUUAAAAAAAAUAAAAAUAGCUCACACGGAAGGAGGGUGUCCUACGUGCCAGACAUAAUUCUUAGCGUUUUAUGUGUAUGAAGUCAUUUCUUGGACUGUAUCAUCAAAAUGAAAGCAUGCAAACAUUUUUGAAAAUUUUCAUAGGUUGCAAGGGUCCCCAAGAACACGUGUCCAGUCCCUCGUCUGAGCAAGCUCAAUCCCGAGCAGCCAGUCCAGAGGGGACCUUGAAAUUGAUUCUCGUUCCCCAGAUGGAGAAGCCGCAAGCCAGAGGGGAAAGGACUUGCCCAAGGUCUCCUGGCAAACGGGCCAAAAGGAGAUCAGAGCUCAGGGGUCUUACCACCAGCCCCGGUUCCUUCCACCAUGCUCACUGUAGAGAAAGCACAGAGAAGAAAGUAAACAUCGCCCCAAAUUCCACUGCCCAGAAGUCUCCGUUGCUAACAUUCUAGAAUAUUCUUCCAGUCUUUUUUCUAUAAACCUGUAUGCACUUUAUAGCAUAAAAUGGGACAAUGACAAAUAGCCCAGUUCAUAAUCUGGUAUUUUCCCCAUCUAAGUAGAGCGUGUCUACCAGGCAGGACUGGGGUAUUUACUUCUGAGAGGUCAUUCUAAUGACCCCACAGGCUCCUGGUGGCCUCUCUUGAAAGCCUCAUCUCACCCAGGUUCUCCCAUGGCUCCUCUGUUCCAAACACAGAAAACUACUUGCGUUUCUCUGAUUUAGUCUUCUCAGCUCAUGACUCCACACCCUUGUACCUACUGCGCCCCCUACUUGUAAAGCCCUUCUCCGUCUAGCAAAAUCAGACUCAACUCAAAUAUUGCCUCUUCCAGGAAGCCUUCCCUGAUCUCUCCCUCCUCCCGCCACAUCCUUCCUCUCCUGCAGGGCUUCUGCAGGACUUUCUUUUCAGUCCUGCUGGAGCAUCUGUUACUUUGCAUUUCCACUGUCCGGAGUAUCUGUAAAUAUAUGUAAUACUGUCAAGGACAUCUUCAAUCUGUAAAAUAGAUAGAUAAAUAAAUAACUGUUAUCUGGCUUCUAGACUUUACCAACACCUUGUACUUCCACAGAUCAGGCUCCUUCACUCCGUGGUGAGCACUGGAAGUUAGAGAAAUGAUACUGUCGUCAUGUUUGUAUCCCUAAGGAAGUACUUACGUGAUUAUUUAUCUCAGUUUCCUCACCUGUAACAUGGGACCUAUGGGGUAAUUAAAUGACACAAUGCGAGUAAGGCAGCUGACACAGCAUAAAUUGUGGCCAUUAGUGUUCAUAGUGGUAUCGCUGUUGUUGUUACUAAGCCUAUGGGGUUUCUUUUUGCUUUUUCUCCCCAGAUCCCCCAAGUACAUAGUUGUAUAUCUUAGUUGUGGGUCCUUCUAGUUGUGGCAUGUGGGAUGCUGCCUCAACGCGGCCUGAUGAGCAGUGCCGUGUCCGUGCCCAGGAUCCGAACUAGUGAAACCCCGGGCCGCUAAAGUGGAGUGUGCAAACUUAACCACUCGGCCACGGGGCCGGCCCCAGCCUAUGGUUUUUUGAACAAGGGAUGUACAGAGUGUAAGAGGGAUGACUGACUGAAAAGACAGUGGAUGGAUGGAUAAUGAGCAAAAAGAUGGAGGAUGUUGGAGGAUGUAUAGAGGAUGGAUAGACUUAGAAUGGAUGGAUGGAUGGAUGGAUAGAUGGAUGGAUGGAUGGAUGGAUGGAUGGAUGGAUGGACGGAUGGAUGGUUGGAUGGAUGGAUGGUUAGAUGGAUGGAUGGAUGGAUGAAUGGAUGGUUGGAAGGAUGGAUGAUUAGAUGGAUGGAUGGAUGGAUGGUUGGAUGGAUGGAUGGUUAGAUGGAUGGAUGGAUGGAUGAAUGGAUGGUUGGAAGGAUGGAUGAUUAGAUGGAUGGAUGGAUGGAUUGUUGGAUGGAUGGAAGGUUGGAUGUAAAGUCUAUCCUCUCCUUUUAUGAUAAAGUAAAAGGAAAACAGGCAAGAGAAUGGAAGGAAGAUCAAAAGGUCUUAGUGGCUGGAGACAAGACUCAAAGUCAGAGUGUCACCAAGCCUUUGACCACAGUCCAGGUCUCACAUGGGUCCCACAACUUGGCUCCCACUGGUUGCCCCAAGGCCCAGGUAACACUGUGUCCCUAGGAUAAGUAGAUGCUCCUUUGGACCAAAUUCUGGGGCGGAAAACCAUCCUUGGCCAGAGAGCUCCCCUCAGAGCCUGGAGAAGCUCCAGUUCACCAAGCAGGAAGUUGCUCCUUUGGGAAGAGAAGCCCUGAGCCCCUCCUCCACUGGCGAGGAAGAAUGAGUCAUCACGGUGACCUGAGGACCUCGGAAACAAACGCCCUGUGCUGCCCAGCUGCCCUCGCUCAGCCCCGCGAGGCCUUCUCAGACACACCCCAGAGAAGGGAAUCACCCCACCCAGGUGCCCAAGCUGGAUUACAGGAGGAACGGGAAGCAGGAGAGCCCGCAGAGGGCUGGGAGGGGACCCCAGCAUCCUGGAGCCCCAGCACUGACAGGGACUCAGGGAUCCUCCAGGCCGCCCCACCCAGUGGACAAAUGGUGGCAUGGAGGCAAGAGAGCUUCCCAAGGUGCCUUGCAGCUCAACCAACGGCAGAGUCGGGGCUUAAACGCCGGUCCUGGGCUGUGGGGUUAGUCCCCAUCCUCAUUGCCACGAGGCCCUGUUAUCUGUUUCUUGGCUGAGUAGGUGGCACCAGACAGGAGUUCCAGGACUCCCCGAGGCCUCUCAGCAGGACGUGGCUGGGGGCAGCUUCCUGAGGGCUUGUUUAUGUCCAGAAACAGGUGUUCCUGUCACUGUGACCUGUGUAAUGCUCCGGGUGAGUCAAUAUCUAGGAUUCCUGGGCACCAGCAGCCCCUCUCUCCGGGCCCUGCAGCUGACGGAAGGACGUGGGACAAGUCCUCCCCACACUGUGCCAGCCCCUGGACAUUAUUUCUGGGACUCUGACCUGAGAAGGGCACGAGGAUGGCGUAACGGUUCCUUGGGAGCCACCGGCUGACAAUGCCCAGCGGAAAUGAACUCCCCCCAGAGAAGCCCCGUCCCUUAGUGAGGGAGCCUAUUACCUGAGGCUGGAGUCCCGGCUCCUCCUUGCCCGGCUCUGUGGCCUUCAGGGAGGCAUCUCCUUUCUGCCCACAUUGCAUGGCUGGAUGCAGGAGCGGGGGUCAAGGGACGCCAAGAAGGGCUCACCUGCAAGAAAGGAGGAAACUGAGGCAUGUGUUUCAGAUCCUCGGAGCGAAGGGAAGAGGGCUUUCCGAGAAGGCAGAAAUUAAAAAUGGCAGCUCGAAGGCCUCCUUACACUGCUCCAUGCCCCCAAACCCACGGAAAACAGCGAUGCAUUUGGAAGAGAUAAAAGAAAAAAAAGCGCAGGACUUCCGGGUUCUAUUAAACCAGAAAGUACGGCUGCUAAACGCUAUAAAAUAGGAUCUCAGAUAAGAGAGGAGGCAGAAUCCCGCGGAGGAAACGGAUCCAGACGGCACAGCGGAGAGGCCUGCCCGGUGAAUGACAGGGUCUGGGCUGCGUUCGGGCCAAGCAGGCAGGUGACACUUCCCCGUCCAGACCCAGCUGAAAAUCACAGGAUGGCACGGGGACAGGAGGGAGCUGGCUGACCCACCCUCUCUCCCUGCUCGGCGCCCAAUGCCUCCCAGCACGAGCAGACCGCUGGGACGAGGUGGACAAGGAGGGAGGCAGGCAGAAGCCGCAGCCGGGGACGCCGGAGGCCCGCAGCCUGAGGUCUUUGCUGGGAGCCUCAGGUCACUUAGGGCUGAAAUGGGGGUGGGAGAGUGUGGCGUGUCGGGGGGCGUUGCUCCAGGGAAAGGAGGAAGGGAAGAGUUUAGUAAGAGUGUGUUUGAGAGUACAAACCCUGGAUGCUGCCAGAUUCCCCACUCUGCUCCUUCCCACAUCAUCCUUCCACCGAGGGCUGGCCUGUUCCAAGAUGAAUAAUCAUCGUAAUGGGAGCCUCACGGGACUGGAAAAAAAUAAAAGAGGAAACGGAGGUGAGAAAUAUAAGCAAAAGGCAAAAGAGCUUACAUCACAAGAGGGAUGACGGAAAAAAGCAGAGGCAGAGUUCAAGCACAUAGCUCUCCACGGACGCGGGCCGUCUGACCUCCGAAGGAGCUAAGAGGUGUCAAGGGUUCCUCAAAGAGACGGUAAGACAGCAAGCAGAAAGAGAGCGCGCUGGUUCAGGAAAGAAGCAGAGGCGACAAAUAAAGACACUUAGAAAUUAAAAAGACGUAUUGAGAAGAAGAAAAACAGCUCAAAAUAAACAGAGACGCAGAGUUGAAAAGGGCACGUAGCGAAUGUCUGGAGAAAAACACGCAAAUAAGGGAAAGGAGCAAACGUGAAAAUAGCACAUUAGUUUCUUAGGGCAGCUAUAAGAAAGUACCACAGGCUACGUGACUGAAGAUAACAGAAAUUGGUUCUGUCACAGUUCUGGAGGCCAGAAGCCCGGAUUCCGGGUGUCGGCAGUGCUGGCUCCUUCUGGGGCUCCGAGGGGCGAUCCGUUCCACGCUCUCCCCCGGCAUCUGCGGUGGCCGGUGAUCCUGGGCUGGUGGCUGCAACACUCCAGUCUCAGCCCCCAUCGUCACAUCCAUUCUUCUGUCUGUGUCUCUGUGUCUCUCCUCUUCUUACGAGGACACACAGCGGAUGAAGGGCCCACCCUACUCCAGUGUGACCUCAGCAUCACUAGUCACCUCUGCAACGACCCUAUUUUCCAAUAAGGUCACAUUCUGAGGUCCCGGGGUUUAGGACUUCAGCAUAUCUUCUUGGAGAGACACAACUGAGCAGUUGAGGAACAGUUACACGAGUGACUGAAAGACGUGGAGGACAGACCAAAGGGGUACAACCUUUGCACGGUUAGCGCUCCAGGAAAGAAAAAUAGAUCGGAUGGAAGAAAGAUGAAAAGUAUUCAGACUUAAUGGGGAAGAACUUUCCUGAAAUAAAGAUUUGAAUGUGGAGACACAAAAUUGAUUCAGGACCAUCAGUCUCAAGCAUGAUAUCCUCUACUAAAGACAGAUUCACAUGGGCAUCGAAGCAAAAAUCUCAAGUCACACGAACGCAGGAUCCAGUCCAGGACAGCACACUGUCCCUUUGGUCUCCUCCAGCCAGUGACAGCUUCAGUCUUUUGCGACCUUGACGCUGUAGAAGAGUCCUGGUCAAUGUUUUGUAGAAGGUCCCUCAAUUUGAGUUUGAUGUCUCCUCGUGACUAGACUGAGACCAUAGAUUUUG
ensembl:lncRNA